GAUGAACGCUGGCGGCGUGCCUAAUACAUGCAAGUCGAGCGAACAGACGAGGAGCUUGCUCCUCUGACGUUAGCGGCGGACGGGUGAGUAACACGUGGAUAACCUACCUAUAAGACUGGGAUAACUUCGGGAAACCGGAGCUAAUACCGGAUAAUAUAUUGAACCGCAUGGUUCAAUAGUGAAAGACGGUUUUGCUGUCACUUAUAGAUGGAUCCGCGCCGCAUUAGCUAGUUGGUAAGUUAACGGCUUACCAAGGCAACCAGGCGUAGCCGACCUGAGAGGGUGAUCGGCCACACUGGAACGUAGACACGGUCCAGACUCCUACGGGAGGCAGCAGUAGGGAAUCUUCCGCAAUGGGCGAAAGCUUGACGGAGCAACGCCGCGUGAGUGAUGAAGGUCUUCGGAUCGUAAAACUCUGUUAUUAGGGAAGAACAAAUGUGUAAGUAACUAUGCACGUCUUGACGGUACCUAAUCAGAAAGCCACGGCUAACUACGUG
rnacentral:rRNA from 1 species